rnacentral:lncRNA from 1 species
CGAUGCCUCGAUUAUUCACAAUGAGGUUGUUAUAAUUUGACUAUACUAUAACUCGAUCUCCUAACCAUAUAAAGCCUUGAGAUGUACGUUGGCUGCAAUAAGUUCAUUGUAGAAAUAGAAUGUAUAUCUAGAUGUAAUCUAUCGAUCUUGAUAGAAAAAUAGAAGUCCUAUGUGGAUUAUGAAACUGAGUUCGAAAGUCUAUGGUCAUGACAAGUGUGAAUGAUGAAAAAAAUUUCAUAAGAUUUUACUAAGAACUCAGGUUGAUUGAAUUUUACAUAUAAC